GUGCAUUAUGAAGACCUCUGAAACAUUCAUUUUUUCACAGAUACCCCAGAUGUGUUACGGAUUUCAGAGGCUAAAUUGUGUAUGUAUUUUUAUGGGUGGACCUUCAAGGCAUUCUUAGGGGAAGAUCUCCCCAAUCAGCAUAAUAAGGACAAAGGCAUCAGGAAGGCUCUGAAUUAGCGGGGCAGGGAAGGAAGGGAAACUCUUCCCACCUGACCUUUCAGCACCAUUUAUUAACUCUGGGUUGCAAGCAACAAGUUUAACGGGGGGCUCUGCAGGGAGGGGCGGCUUUGUGCUCAGACUUCCGCUGCAGAAAGUACUUCGGUAUCGGUGAGCUGCUUUGCAGACCCCUGCGCCAGGCUGCCCUUGUGCCUGAGCUGAGCUUUUGUCUCCCUUCCACCAGCGGUCCUCUUUGUGUCAGAGCAAAGCAUGGGAGUCGCACCACGCGUGACGCCUGCAUGGCAGCACACACCGAGCCGCGGAGACGUCACACAAGCAGAUGUGCCACAGCCCUUUGGAGCAGUGAGCGAACGAACCAGUUGCACAUCUGCACUGAGCAAGCCAAAGCAUGAAUCCUGAAGGCACGAGUGGAAACAAAGAGGGUUGUCUGAAUGAAUAAAGAGAAGGGUUCCUCCAGAAGAUGCUGCGAGCGGCCGGGAGAGCCAAAUGAUUAAUGAGAGCCGGAGCCGGGCGCACCCUGCCCACCUCCACCCGCAUCGGGAAUGAGGACGCACUGCAGCCUGGUGGGAUGCGCACAGCCACAGUUCUGGGCAGAAGGGACUGGGAAGGAUUGCUCCACAUCCCGGCUAAAUCCAUCUACGGGAAGUCCCAGGGCGCAUCCCUGCAUCAGAGCCGGUGCUGCAGGAGAGGAGAGCGUCCCGUGCUGUCCUGGUGCCGUGCAGAGGGCGCGUUGCAGGUCUGGAGAGGGUCCAUCCCGGCUCCUUUGUAGAAAGGUGUGCCGUGACACAGGAACAAAGGAAGAACAAGAGCGCGAAGUUUGGAGCAAGUUAAUAAAAAGCGAGUGGGAGCAGGAUUUGUUUGAACUCACAGGGCUCGCACUGACAGAGACAAAUCUAUCUGAGGAAUCAGGCGUGCUACAUCUGAAAAUAAAAUGGGAUGGAGCUGCAGAGCACGGGGUGAUGAGCAGCGUUACGGCCCAGAGAGCCGCUCUGCCUGGGAGUGCUGAGCAAAGAGCCCCUCCCUCCCCCCGGGAACGCACUGUACCAUUUUAUUCCCCUUUUUCUUUACAUUUCCACUUCCGAUCGCUGAUUUGGAUUUAAAAUUAAUUUGGUGAUUUGAGUUUAAUAAGAAUGUUAGACAUGAUUUCCUUCUCACUCUUACUUUUAAUUAACUUUUUAAUUGAGAUUUAAAUGAAUUCUAAUGAAC
rnacentral:lncRNA from 1 species